ACCCCGCACCCCCCAGCUUCUCUUCCCGCUGUCACCAAACCGCCCGCGGGCAGCGGCCUGGGCCACCCGAGGUGGGGGGUGUCGGGCCCGCCCUGCUCCCCCUCAGCCAAAGUUCUUACUGCAAAUUUGGUUUUGAGGCUCUCCAGCUUCCAAGGCAGCAAAAGCAUUGGCAGUAAACAUAAUGUGGGGAUGCCCUAUGUUGAUGAGGGGCAUCCCUGGGCAUAGAAAUGGCAGAAAGAGAUGGCAUCAUAGGCAUGGAAAACCAUGGAUGAGAGAACGGCAAUCUGGCAAUCUGGUAGGCAUCCAUAGCUGCUAAAUCUAGACAUCAAGGCAGAGGCACCAGUUGCUGUUUUAUCACAUAGUGGAAUAGCAGAAGAAAUUGAGACAGCAGAAUCAACCAUUUCAUCCUGAGCUGAAACAUGUGGAGUUUCUGCUAUAGAAAGGUCCAUCUCCAAUCC